rnacentral:rRNA from 1 species
AAUGAACGCGGCGGCGUGAACASAUGCAAGUGGAUGUGCCCGGAAGUGGUGCGAAUGGCAGASGGGUGAGUAACGCGUGGGGAGAUCUACCUUUUAGUGGGGAAUAACGCUCCGACANGGAGUGGUAAUACCGCAUGAGASCAGUGGCUGGGAKGCUGCUGGUGAAACCCUGGGACCUUCGGGCCAGGGGCUAGAAGAGGAKCCUGCGUCUGAKUAGCUAGUUGGUGAGGUAACGGCCCACCAAGGCAUCGAUCAGUAGCCGGCCUGAGAGGGUGAUCGGCCACACUGGAACUGAGACACGGUCCAGACUCCUACGGGAGGCAGCAGUGGGGAAUUUUGCGCAAUGGGCGAAAGCCUGACGCAGCAACGCCGCGUGGGUGAUGAAGGUCUUCGGAUUGUAAAACCCUGUCGCCAGGGACGAAGGGUGGGGCGUGAAUAGCGUUUCACUUUGACGGUACCUGGAAAGGAAGCCCCGGCUAACUCUGUGCCAGCAGCCGCGGUAAUACAGAGGGGGCAAGCGUUAUUCGGAAUUAUUGGGCGUAAAGGGCGCGUAGGCGGUUCUUUAAGUCGGAUGUGCAAUCCCUGGACUCAACCCAGGAACUGCAUCCGAGACUGGAAGGCUAGAGUACUGGAGAGGGGUGGGUGGAAUUCCUCGUGUAGCGGNUGAAAUGCGUAGAGAUGAGGGGGAACACCAGUGGCGAAAGGCGGCCACCUGGACAGUA